GCCCCUCAAUGCUAACAUUGAAAUUAAAAAAAUAAAAUAUGCUUGUUUUUUUCAGUCUCAAAGAUCUUCCUCCCUCUCUUGUUACACUGGCAGGCUGGUCUGGGAAAGGUGCUGGACGUCGCUUCAUCCUGUUCUCCCUGGAUGAUCUCUGCCAGCUGGUAUGAACUGAUGCCCUCUGACUGGCUGGCGUGCAACUGGGUUCUCUCCCACCUUGCUGCCUGCAUUACCCUGGACAGAUGUGCAAGUCCUAGGUGCCCUGGUUUCUUCAUCUUUAAGGUGCUGGUAAUAAUAGAAUCUACCUCUUAGGGUUCUGAUGAGGAUUAAACGAGAUGAUAUAAGCCCAUGCCAAGCACGUGCAUGCACAGAGUCCAUUAAACAUUUAUGCAGAUAAAACCCUGGUGGCCUGCCCGUGAUCUCUGGACCUGCUGGAGUUGCAGGAGAGA
rnacentral:lncRNA from 10 species